rnacentral:lncRNA from 1 species
GUUGAGAGAAUGCCCUAAAGGAAUCAGAUACCUAUGAACACAUCUGCUUCUUUCCCUUAGGCCUGAUAUCUGUUCUGUCAUUGGGGUGAUUUUGUAGAUUAGAAAGAUCUAGUUGAAAAAAUAUUUUUGUGAAAAACUCUGCAAGCAAAUAAUAAAGCAACUCAUUACUUUGAGAAUUUCUAAUGGUGGGUAGCAGACAUUUGAAAACAGUAAUGACAUCAAUAUCAAAUUUGAAACCCCAGCAGCAUCCAAUUGAUUUGUUGGUUUUAGACAAAAAGGAAUUUCAUGGAAGACCUUUGUGUCUGUAUUAACACAGAGCCAGUGAAGAAACCCCUUUUUCAAUAAAGCCAUAUUUUCUGAUUUAAGAAUAUUUAUUAGGUUGGCAGAGGAGAUUUAUAUAGUGGUGAUGUUAGUUACCUAGCACCCUUUUGGGGAUAGUCAUUGUCUUUUUCUUAGACAUAAUAGUGUUUAAAUUAUCUUAGAAAGGUAGGCAACAUGUGUAAUGUCUUUAAGGGGACAAAGGAGUGAAAAUGGAGAAGAACUAAAACUUAGAAAAUUACAUGAUUAAGAACUAAAAAUUUCCAACUGUAAGCUUUGAAUGUUUAUAGCUAUUUUAGGCACCCAUACAAUCUUCCACCAUGAUAAUCUAUCUGUACUACUAGGAAGAUCUGAGCACCAUUUUAAGGACCAUUUUGUGAUCAAUUAGCAUCGUUAAAACUGAUUUACAUAGAAAUUGUUAAAUAAAUUUAAAAUGCAACCCUCUCCUUACCAAAGUCUGUAGAAAUGAUAUCUGAUGCCAGCAUAACAAUCAGCCAGUUGUGUCUCCUAAAUUUAGCAAAAAUGUAUUCGCUGUUUUGAGCCAGAAAGUAGAGGCAAUUUUGGCCAAUGGCUUGAGUUCAUACAUCUAGUAAACAGACUGUCUUAGAUGAAAAUAAAUGUGUAUUUUUCUAUGUUUGCUAAUUUAGAGUUUUUUUGCACAGGGUUACUCAUAGCUACCAAUUUGUGUCACUUAUAGAAUGGCUUUGACUUUUAUCUACCUCUGAUAGGUAAACUAAUAUUUAUGGUUAUUUACGAAUAAUUCUUUUUCAAAAAUAUUACAAGCCUACUUUCCAUAAAUUAAACAAAUUAUACUAGUUUUUGAAGAAACAUACAAUCUAAGUAUUUUCUCUUAUCUCAUGACUUGUUAGUAGGCUAAAGUAUUAGUAUUAAUUAGCAGACAACUGCUGAUAAUGAAUGCUGUGAACAAAGGUAGUUUAUUAUUAGGGGGUGGUGGUUGAGAGGAUACUUAAAUUACUCUUUCAAUUAUAAAAAUGUAGCCACAUUUGACUCCUAGAUAAAAAAAUCACCUGAAGAGGCAGGCUAAUGGGAACAUGCAAUACAUUGAGAAGUUUCAAAUUCAGUUACUAAGAAUAGUUGGAUGUAUACAUAGUUUUUCAAAGUGAGGCAGAACACUGAUUGAUUUGUUUGAACUGAGAGUUGGACUUGCUUUAGUCAUUCCAACUCUAACCUUGGAGAAUGUUCUUAUAUGGUUUAUUGCCAUUUACAAAAAUUAUCUCACUGUCCAAAACCUUAAUCCCUGCAUGGACAAUAGUCCAUCUUCUGCAUAUCAGAAUUUUAAUGUGGAUUGUAGAACUCUAACUUUCUAAUAUUUCCCAGUUACAUUCAAAAAUGCCAUCCAAUUCAUACUGAUAGCUUUCUCUUCACAUCAAUGAUUGGUAAAUGGUUUGUAAAAGGGCAACAACUGGACAAUCCUAAACUUUUUUUUUAGCAGUUACUGAAGCCUGUGGACCUGAUCACUGAGUAGAGGGAGAAGUAGGUGGUGUGGGUGAGUAUGGAGAAGGUGAAGGUGAGAAACUGAGAGGAAUGCAUAACCAAGAAGUUAAGAUAUUGAAGGCAGUAAUAGUUUAAAUGCUUUGUCUGCAUAUAUUCAGUCAACACGUAUGUCUGUUUCGAUAUCAUUCAGAGAUUGAAAAAUUCUAUGUUGCUGCUAUCCAGAGAUUCUGGUAUGUAUAGCAUCAUAUACAGUUUGCUUGAAUUGUUGUUUUCAAAUCAUUAGCAUACAGGAAAGCACAAAGUAAAGCUACACUGACCACUGUUCACUAAUUAGUCAAUAAAAAAGACAGUGAGGCAUCUUAUGUCCCUCUUAGUUGUGGUUUCCAUACCUUUGAGUGAGAGAAAAAUGGUCCUGGUUAUAGCACAAAGGAGGAUUCAACCAGACAUCAGCAGGUUCUGACUGCUUAAAGUUUUACAUAAAGAAAGUCUAGAGCAGUGACUCCCAGGCUUCAUCAGGCAUAUCGAACUCUGGUAAAAAAAAUGUAAACUUACCAGCAUCCUAUAGCCAGUGAAAUUGAUUCAUUAAUUCUGGUGGGAAAAGACUCUUGCAUUUUCCAAACACCUCAGGUGAUCUAAAGCAGGUUUCCAUUGACUGUGUUCUGUAUUCUGAGGUACAGUACUGGACAGUUGGGCUUAAAUACAUAUUUGCAUGAGGUGUUUGGAAAGCGAGAAGAAAAAAGGAAGGAGGGAGGGAGGGAAGGAGGAGGGAGAGAGAGGAAGGGAAAAAGAGAGAAU